UACGAAGGGGGCUAGCGUUGCUCGGAAUUACUGGGCGUAAAGCGUACGUAGGCGGCUUUGUAAGUUAGAGGUGAAAGCCCGGGGCUCAACUCCGGAAUUGCCUUUAAGACUGCAUCGCUUGAAUCAUGGAGAGGUGAGUGGAAUUCCGAGUGUAGAGGUGAAAUUCGUAGAUAUUCGGAAGAACACCAGUGGCGAAGGCGACUCACUGGACAUGUAUUGACGCUGAGGUACGAAAGCGUGGGGAGCAAACAGG
rnacentral:rRNA from 1 species